rfam:Chara strigosa photosystem II CP43 protein (psbC) gene, partial cds; chloroplast gene for chloroplast product.
GAUAACCAAAUAUUGUACUAGGAUUCAGAGUUAUAUUAGUAAUUUUUCUAACAUCUCCUCCUCCUGGUGCCCAAGUAUCAUAAAGACCUCCAAACCAGAUCGCUUUUGCCACUAAUAGUAAUGCACCCGCACCUAAAAGAAUCAAAUGAAUACCUAGAAUAGUAGUCAUUUUAUUUUUGUCCUUCCA